GUUGCCUAGAGGCAUACACAUCAUAAAAUAAUGUCCACCAUUCAUGUAAAAACCCAUCAAAUGAAUCAACCGCAACAGGGUUUUCACCAACAUUUGCUUCAUUUCUGAAAAUUGCAGCUGUUUUGUGCAAGUUCCUUUUCACCAAAUAAUCAUGCAAAUACAAAUCAAACAUCUUUUUAGCAUCCCAAGAAUCACCACAGUCCAUGAUCA
rnacentral:misc_RNA from 1 species